ensembl:snRNA U6 U6 spliceosomal RNA
GUCACUCUCCCGGCAGCACAUAUACUAAAACUGCCAUGAUAUAGAGAAGAUUAGCAUGACCCUGAUCAAGGAUGACAUGCACAUUUGUGAAGCGUUACAUAUUUGG